UUGAAGAGUUUGAUCAUGGCUCAGAUUGAACGCUGGCGGCAGGCCUAACACAUGCAAGUC
rnacentral:rRNA from 15 species